GGGCUACUGGUAAAAUAUCACACUGCCUUGUCAAGGCAGAAUUGUGGGUUAAAACCCCGCGUAGCCU
rnacentral:tRNA from 1 species